rnacentral:misc_RNA from 1 species
GAUGAAGAACGCAGCGAAAUGCGAUACGUAAUGUGAAUUGCAGAAUUCAGUGAAUCAUCGAAUCUUUGAACGCACAUUGCACUCUCUGGUAUUCCGGAGAGUAUGCUUGUUUGAGUAUCUGUAAACAUCUCAACCCUCAAGGCGCUUGCGUCGGGAGGAUUGGACUUGAGCGAUCCCGACUCUUUCUCACGGAAGAGGAGGGUCGCUUGAAAUGCAGGUGCAGCAGGACAUUCUUCUGAGCUAAAAGCAUAUCUAUUUAGUCCCGUCAAACGGAUUAUUACUUUUGCUUCAGCUAACAUAAAGGUCGAAUGAACCACAAUCGCUGAUUGCAGGAAAACUCGUUCGUAAGAACUUGUGAACUCGAUCUCAAAUCAAGUAAGACUACCCGCUGAACUUAAGCAUAUCAAUAAGCUGAGGA